rnacentral:rRNA from 1 species
UACGUAGGAUGCAAGCGUUGUCCGGAAUUAUUGGGCGUAAAUAGCGCGCAGGCGGUAACUCAAGUCAGAUGUGCAAUAUCCGGUCUUAACCCGGAGGGGUCAUUUGAAACUGAGUAACUAGAGUACAGCAGAGGAUAGCGGAAUUCCCGGUGUAGUGGUGAAAUGCGUAGAUAUCGGGAGGAACAGCAGUGGCGAAGGCGGCUAUCUGGGCUGAAACUGACGCUGAGGCGCGAAGGCGAGGGGAGCAAACAGG